ACACAGCACUCUGCAAACACGAAAGUGGACGUAUAGGGUGUGAUGCCUGCCCGGUGCUGGAAGGUUAAUUGAUGGUGUAAUCGAAAGAGAAGCUCCUGAUCGAAGCCCCAGUAAACGGCGGCCGUAACUAUAACGGUCCUAAGGUAGCGAAAUUCCUUGUCGGGUAAGUUCCGACCUGCACGAAUGGCAUAAUGAUGGCCAGGCUGUCUCCACCCGAGACUCAGUGAAAUUGAAAUCGCCGUGAAGAUGCGGUGUACCCGCGGCUAGACGGAAAGACCCCGUGAACCUUUACUAUAGCUUGACACUGAACAUUGAAUUUUGAUGUGUAGGAUAGGUGGGAGACUUUGAAGAUGAUACGCCAGUAUUGUUGGAGUCGACCUUGAAAUACCACCCUUUAACGUUUGAUGUUCUAACGAAGAUUACGAAACGUGGUCUCGGACAGUGUCUGGUGGGUAGUUUGACUGGGGCGGUCUCCUCCCAAAGAGUAACGGAGGAGCACGAAGGUUUGCUAAUGACGGUCGGACAUCGUCAGGUUAGUGCAAUGGUAUAAGCAAGCUUAACUGCGAGACAGACAAGUCGAGCAGGUACGAAAGUAGGUCAUAGUGAUCCGGUGGUUCUGAAUGGAAGGGCCAUCGCUCAACGGAUAAAAGGUACUCCGGGGAUAACAGGCUGAUACCGCCCAAGAGUUCAUAUCGACGGCGGUGUUUGGCACCUCGAUGUCGGCUCAUCACAUCCUGGGGCUGAAGUAGGUCCCAAGGGUAUGGCUGUUCGCCAUUUAAAGUGGUACGCGAGCUGGGUUUAGAACGUCGUGAGACAGUUCGGUCCCUAUCUGCCGUGGGCGUUGGAGAAUUGGUUGGGGCUGCUCCUAGUACGAGAGGACCGGAGUGGACGCACCACUGGUGUUCCGGUUGUGUCGCCAGACGCAUUGCCGGGUAGCUAAGUGCGGAAGAGAUAAGUGCUGAAAGCAUCUAAGCACGAAACUUGCCAAGAGAUGAGUUCUCCCUGUCUUUAAGACAGUAAGGGUUGUUUAAGACUAAGACGUAGAUAGGUCUGGUGUGUAAGCGGUGCGAGCCGUUGAGCUAACAGAUACUAAUUGCCCGAGAGGCUUAACUAU
rnacentral:rRNA from 1 species